UUUCUCCAAGUUGAGUGUGUCAAAGUUUCCUAAUAGCCUCAAUGGAACUUCGGACAAUGCUCACACCCAAAUUAUAUUAUCAAAAUAGGGACAAGUGCAGUGUGGAAGGGCCAACCCUCAAGUGUCUAAAUUCAGAGAGAGCUCAAUGGGUCCCAAGGCAAGGCUCACAAGAGGAGGGCAGAACUUAAAGACUAAGAGAGAAUGUAAGUGCAGAAACAGAUCUUGAAGAACUAGGGAAGUAAUGGAAAAGGGAAAUGGGUGCUGGGAAAUAGUUACAAAAUUAACAACUUCACACAAAAGGGAUUCAAGGGUUGGGACUGAUUUCAUAGAGCCAUUGGGUUUGGGCAUUAAUUGAUUCUGGGCAUGCACGGCAAUAUGGAACGUUGUUAUGCUCAUAAAAUCAACUAAAAUAUACAACGACAUAUAAUGAUAACAUGAGGUUAUGAUCUUAUGAGAUCAAGUUUGAGUCAUAGACAACAAUACUUUAAUAUUAUCAUGCCUCAAACAACCAUCAAUGUCAAACAUACUUAGGAUACACAAUAGAUGCAGAACAAGCAGAAGGAAAAUGCUAAACAAGUACUGAACUAAACACAUAAGUAGGCAGCCAGGAGGAAAAAUGUGUUAAAUAAACACAUAAUUGUGAUGCUGAAUCUUAAUUAGAACAUACCGUUUAAAUAAAGCAUUAUAGAAAGAAGAAGGCAUCAUGACUUGUAAACAUGCCACAAGUAAUAAGAGAGAAUACUUUUAAGUAUGAGUAUAAGUUCAGAAAACUACGAGCGUUCGUGUGUUUUUAUGCCAAUGAAAGAGUUAGGUAUUUAUAGUAUGAAAACAUGCAGAAAACAAGGUAAGGAUUGUAGUUCAAAAUAAUUAGGGAAAUAUGUGUCAAUUAAAAUCAGAUCAGUAUCAAAGACUUCCUUUAAUUAAAGAAUUAAAUCAAAUGGUAGCAUGCAAGUGCUAAAUAAGGAAAGAAAUCACAUAGGGCUAAAUAUGACCAAUAAGGAAGUAUUUCCAGCAUAGUAUGAGUACACAGUAGGUAAUAGAGGCUAGGUUCAUCAGACUUUAAUUAGGGAAAGGUCUGCAAGAAUCCCAUGCCAAUGUAAUCCAGAUAAGGGGAUCAAAUCAAUUGAAGUAGAAAAGGUAGGGGUCAGAAGUUUAAAGGAAAAUAUUCCAACAAGUUCAAGAAACAAGGGAAAUCAAUUCAAUGAGGAAAGAAUCAAUUACAAGAGUGCACUCAGAAUUACAGAGAGAUUUGAAAUCAAUCCUCAAUCAGGGGUUAUUUUGAGAUGGAAAUUUAAUCUUUAAAGAGUGCAUAAAUGUUAAGCAUGCGAGGCUGAAUUUAAGAAAAAUAAAAGUGUCAUGCAAUUGCAAAAUUCAGUAAGUAGUAGACUAUAGGAACAUGGUAGUCACAUGGUAACUCAGCAAUGGAGAAGAUAAAGGGUAUCAAAUAACAUACAAAGGGUCCAGUAGAAAGACCUUAGAAUCAUGUAGCAGGGAAUCAGAAUCAUACAAAGAAACAAGGUUGAAACAAACAUUUCGUAACUCAGUCGAGCAGUAGAUGAAACAAUGUUCAGAAACUCGAAUAGGUCCAAAGGAGAUAGGGUUUUGAAAUCAAACAGGUUCAAAGAUGAAGAACAAGCAAAUCAAAUAGUGAAUAGUCUCAAUACUCGAGUAAAACCCCCAAAUUUUAGGGUUUUGCUCUCAAUCGAGUGUAAAAAUGAAAGGACGAGUAAUCAAGGCAAAAAUACUAAUGAAAUAAGUUUAGAAAUCUCAUAAAGAAACUGAGACUUUUAACAUGC
rnacentral:lncRNA from 1 species